AAGCAAUUUACUUCUGCUUAUGGCACCCUGCAAAAACAAACAUCUCUCAGGAAAGCAAGAGGAAGAAACCAAGUUGGGACACUAUAAGAGACAGGAACAAAAUCUACCAAAAGUUGGAGUUAUCAGUGUGCUUGCUUCUUGAGGCCACAAGUCUUUCUGCUUCAGAACUGAACCUGCUACUGGGUAUGGCUUUCUAAUCUCA